rnacentral:tRNA from 1 species
UAGCUCAGUUGGUUGAGCAUGGUGCUGAUAACACCAAGGUCGCAGGUUCGAUCCCUGU